rnacentral:rRNA from 1 species
UACAGAGGUCUCAACCGUUGUUCGGAUUCAUUGGGCGUAAAGAGUGCGUAGGCGGUCGCGCAAGUCGGAUGUGAAAUCUCAGGGCUCAACCCUGAAACUGCAUUCGAUACUGCGUGGCUAGAGUACUGGAGAGGAGACUGGAAUUUACGGUGUAGCAGUGAAAUGCGUAGAUAUCGUAAGGAAGACCAGUGGCGAAGGCGAGUUUCUGGACAGUUACUGACGCUGAGGCACGAAGGCCAGGGGAGCAAACGGG